AAUCAACGCUGGCGGCGUGCCUAACACAUGCAAGUCGAACGCGAAAGCCCCGCAAGGGGUGAGUAGAGUGGCAAACGGGUGAGUAACACGUGGGUGACCUGCCUUCGAGUGGGGGAUAACGUCCCGAAAGGGACGCUAAUACCGCAUGACAUCCUGCCUUUGGACAGGCGGAGAUCAAAGCUGGGGAUCGCAAGACCUGGCGCUUGAAGAGGGGCCCGCGUCUGAUUAGCUAGUUGGUGAGGUAACGGCUCACCAAGGCAACGAUCAGUAUCCGGCCUGAGAGGGCGGACGGACACACUGGGACUGAGACACGGCCCAGACUCCUACGGGAGGCAGCAGUGGGGAAUUGUUCGCAAUGGGCGCAGGCCUGACGACGCAACGCCGCGUGGAGGACGAAGAUCUUCGGGUCGUAAACUCCUGUCGAGUGGAAAGAAUAAUUCGGGGACGAAUACU
rnacentral:rRNA from 1 species